CAUUAAUGCAUAUAUAAUUAUAUAAUAUAUACCAUCUCUUAAAUAACUUUAAAAGCCGGAUUUGCUGUCUUGCACUCUUGCUUUGCUUAUUCGGGCUUCAGCUUUCAAGCCUUCAAGUUCCAAUUCCAAAACAGAGAGUGAAGAGAGUCAGAGAGACAGAGACCUUUUGAGAUUGGAGGCUGGAUCCGUGACCCGUGAGGCGUGACCGUGAAUGGGUGUGGUGGCCGGAUGUCAACACUCAACAGCCGUGACCCGUGGAUGCCAAUGGUGGAGACUCGAGUGGAUCGGAGGCAGCUUGCUGGGUGGAUCUUCAAUCGGACUGAGUUAUGGUGGAGUGGAGGAUUCAAGGCGUGGAUCCGGCGCUUGGUUGCAGUAGAUCUGUAGAUCGGGUCACAAUCUUCGCGAAUCAGGUUCGGCUUCAGUUGGGGUCGUUCUCGGAAGUGGUUGCUGGCUGCGUGUGGUGGCCGUUGAAGCUAGCUCCGUGAACUGUGCGUGUGUGUUUGCUGCGCGUGGUGAGCGACGAAGGCCAUGACUCCGUGAGGCGUGAAUGAGCGUGGGACAGUGGGUUGGCUGCUGCCUGCUUGUGCUUGACGGCUGCUGCCCGCUUGUGCUUGACGGCUGCUGCCUGCUUGUGCUUGACGGCUGCUGGUUUCAGUGAUUUUUGUGUGACACUGUGACAGUGAGGGUUUGUGAAUUGUGAUAGUGAUACCGUGAGUGAGGGUUUGUGACUGUGAGUUGUUACUUGUUACUUUGCUUAAUUGCUUUGCUUGUGUUGUUUGCUUGGUGAAUUAUUGAAUUGUUUUGUAACUUUUGUUGCGGUGAAUAGUGAAUACUGAAUAGUUUGGAGUGAAUUGACUGAAUUCCUGAAUUGUUUUGUUGCGGUGAAUACUUUGUGAAAUGUGAAAUUGUGAAUUACUGUAAAUCCGUGAGUCUGUACUCUCUCCUGUGAUCUGUAUUUUGUUUCUGUGAGAGUGUGAGUUACUGAUUCAAUGCAUGUACUCGUGUGAGAUGUGAGUGUGCCGUGUGUGUGUCUGUGUGAUAUUGUAAGUGUAAAUCUGUAAUUUUUGGCUUUUUGCCCAAGUUUUUUUUUUUUGUCUCAACCCGAUCGGGUUUUCAGAUCGGAUCGGGUGAAACCCGAUCCGAUCAUGAUCCGAUCGGGUUGAGACAAUUUCACCCGAUCGGGUUUUGUUGACCACCCGAUCCGAUCCGAACCCGAAAUGUUUCGGAUCGGGUCGGGUCGGAUCGGGUCGGGUCGGAUAAUUUGCCCACCCCUAGUUCAGCAUGGGAAUCCAAAAAUAGUUUCCUUGUGAACUUAUUAUUGAUAAU
rnacentral:lncRNA from 1 species